GAUGAACGCUGGCGGCGUGCCUAAUACAUGCAAGUCGAGCGAACAGACGAGGAGCUUGCUCCUCUGACGUUAGCGGCGGACGGGUGAGUAACACGUGGAUAACCUACCUAUAAGACUGGGAUAACUUCGGGAAACCGGAGCUAAUACCGGAUAAUAUAUUGAACCGCAUGGUUCAAUAGUGAAAGACGGUUUUGCUGUCACUUAUAGAUGGAUCCGCGCCGCAUUAGCUAGUUGGUAAGGUAACGGCUUACCAAGGCAACGAUGCGUAGCCGACCUGAGAGGGUGGUCGGCCACACUGGAACUGAGCCACGGUCCAGACUCCUAAGGGAGGCAGCAGUAGGGAAUCUUCCGCAAUGGGCGAAAGCCUGACGGAGCAACGCCGCGUGAGUGAUGAAGGUCUUCGGAUCGUAAAACUCUGUUAUUAGGGAAGAACAAAUGUGUAAGUAACUAUGCACGUCUUGACGGUACCUAAUCAGAAAGCCACGGCUAACUACGUG
rnacentral:rRNA from 1 species